CCGAAAUCCGCGGAUCUCCAGAAUGCUCCGAACUGUGGUAAACGAACCGAACGGAUUCGGAUACAAUUCGAAUCCGCUGCAGGCCUAGUCCCUACAUGUACUCUGUCUCUCUCCCUGAAGACAACCUUCUCCUGUGUGCGGUCAGAGGUCAGCAGGUAGACUGACCUUCUCGUCCUCGUUGAGGGGGUCACCCAGCUCAUCCUGAGAGAAGUCCAGAUAGGCCACGGUACCAUCCAUAGAACACACCAGGAUCCCCAGCCCUACGGAGAGGGACCGGUCUUUGCUGCCCACGGCACAGCAGCAGUACGGACAGCUGCUGCUCUUCUGCUUCUUCUUAAAGAUCUUGGGAUUGAACUUCUACUGGGCACAGAGGCAGAGAGAGAAAAAUCUACUUGGUUUCCCCCUUGAAUUCUGUUCAGGCCUGGUGGAACGCACCGGGAAAAAACCCUUAACGGACGAGGAACGCGGAAUGACGUAUUGGCACGGUUGCUUCGGUCAAGUUUGUUCACUUGGUAUCAAGACUUCUAACAAGUGAUCACAAGGAGAGAAUGACUUUAAUAAAGUUAAUCUAUUGCAUUCAAAUAAAUAAAUCUUUAAACUCA